rnacentral:lncRNA from 1 species
GGCACUGUUGGGCCACCCAACGAGGCCAAGCAAUCCGGCUUAAACGUUUGUUGAUUGUUCAUUGUUUGUAGAGUGCCCGGCUUAUCUACACGAGGUUCACUCUGUAUCUUAUCAAGAGAUAAACUCACUUUAGCUACAUCUUCAGUCUGCAACAUUAAGUCCCAGAAGGUGGGAGACCGGUGAAGAAAGGCCCUGGUGAUAAAAUGCCAAUUCAGGCCACCGGAGGAGGACUGGCCUGUGGGCUCCAUUUGGGGCGUCCAUCCAGAAAGCAUCUUCAUUCCCCAGUAGUGUUCAUGGGGCAGGCUGCCUGCUGAGGACACAGCAAGUAACAGGACCCUGCCUGGCCUUUGAGGAGCCUGACAACCAGACACGGGACAGGCUGGCAAUAGGAAAACCCUCAUAACCAUGGUGACAGUUAUGAGUGACAUUUAUGAAGCACCUGGCGACAAGUAGCGUUUCCAUUGCUUUAGCAUAAAAAUAAAAUCAGCUUUAGAGAGAA